AUGAGGACCGUAACCAAGACACUGGUCUUGCCUUCCACUUGCCCCCAAACUGAAGGAAGCCUAGGGUCCCUGUGUCCACACCACAUGGCACCAGCGCCUGUACCAGCUGGGAGCCAUGUUUUCAAACUUCUGAUCCGCAACUCACGGGAAGGUCCUGAAGUCCUCAUCCUGGAGGAAAAGGAGACAGAGGUUCACUUCCACCAGUCCUCCGUGUCCACCAAGGUGUCCUCCUGGUCUCUGUCUCUCCAGGGCAGAAGGUGCCCGACGGCGACUGCCUCAGCUCCCUUACAACACUCGGCUCUCGCAGGACAGCAUCUGUCUGCUCAACAAGACUGUGAGCAAACGCUAGGGUGUACCCUGGUGGAACAGCACGUGCUUAAAAAUUUGGUGCCCAGCACAAAAGAAAGGCAGGAAGACUGUGAACAUCGACCACUAAGCAGACUUGUGUCUCAGAACCUGGCAAAGGCAGUGUGGAAACCAUGCCGAAGACCCUUCCUAAGAGCAAGAUCUUGACAGGAGAAGAGGAGAAAGCACACAGGUUUUCAAGAUGUGGAAAGCGCAAAUGGAUUUGCAGGUAAGCGUGAGAAGAGAAAGGGCUGGGAAGGAGGUAAAUCUACUUUGGCUGCAAGAAGCUGACUCUGGCCAGCAGUGGGCAGACUGGAAAGAGGCAGGGAGCUGCGGGAGGCGCUCAGCAACCAGGCCUGGGAAGGCGGGAGCCAGGGCAGCUCUGGGGACCUGGGGGGCAGGAGCUCGUAUGCCAUGUGGCUCUGGAUGACUCCAAGCUUUCGAUUGCUGGUGGCUACUCCAACCCCAAUUCUGACUCCAGGGCGAGAGUCUGACGGACCCUGUGGGUCCAGUGCCCCCCCUCUGAGAGUGGAGAGCAGGACGGACCUGUGGCCAGCAGCCCCGCUAGGAAUGUGUGGAACUGGGGAGGCGGAGCUUAGAGGGACGCUGAGUGUCUGUUCCCCGGAGGAGAGGCAGGAGUGCUGGGCAUAUGUGCACAGCAGAUGUUCACCGCACAUGGGAUGUCCAUUUGGAGAGGACGGGGAUGAGUGGGGUGGGGAUGGGAAUUUCCAGGACACUCCAGAAUCUGCCACAGG
rnacentral:lncRNA from 1 species